rnacentral:rRNA from 1 species
UACAGAGGUCUCAAGCGUUGUUCGGAUUCAUUGGGCGUAAAGGGUGUGUAGGCGGGAUGGCAAGUCGGUCGUGAAAUCCCUCGGCUCAACUGAGGAGCGUCGAUCGAAACUGCCGUUCUUGAGGGUUGCAGAGGAGACUGGAAUUCCCGGUGUAGCGGUGAAAUGUGUAGAGAUCGGGAGGAACACCGGUGGCGAAGGCGGGUCUCUGGGCAACUCCUGACGCUGAGGCGCGAAAGCGUGGGGAGCAAACGGG